GCAAGUCGAGGGGUAACAGGGAGCUUGCUCCGCUGACGACCGGCGCACGGGUGCGUAACGCGUAUAGAACCUACCUUUUACAGAGGGAUAGCCUUUAGAAAUGAAGAUUAAUACCGCAUGGUAUUUAGUAGUGGCAUCACUAUUAACUUAAAGAUUUAUCGGUAAAAGAUGGCUAUGCGUCCUAUUAGCUAGAUGGAGAGGUAACGGCCCCCCAUGGCGACGAUAGGUAGGGGCCCUGAGAGGGGGAUC
rnacentral:rRNA from 1 species